UACGUAGGGUGCAAGCGUUGUCCGGAAUUAUUGGGCGUAAAGAGCUCGUAGGCGGUCUGUUGCGUCGGCUGUGAAAACCCGGGGCUCAACUCCGGGCCUGCAGCCGAUACGGGCAGACUAGAGUUCGGCAGGGGAGACUGGAAUUCCUGGUGUAGCGGUGAAAUGCGCAGAUAUCAGGAGGAACACCGGUGGCGAAGGCGGGUCUCUGGGCCGAUACUGACACUGAGGAGCGAAAGCAUGGGGAGCGAACAGG
rnacentral:rRNA from 1 species